UGGGGAAUAUUGCACAAUGGGCGGAAGCCUGAUGCAGCGACGCCGCGUGGGGGAUGACGGCCUUCGGGUUGUAAACCUCUUUCAGUGCAGAACAAGGCUCUUUGUGGGUUGAGGGUAUGCGCAGAAGAAGCGCCGGCUAACUACGUGCCAGCAGCCGCGGUAAUACGUAGGGCGCGAGCGUUGUCCGGAUCUAUUGGGCGUAAAGAGCUCGUAGGCGGUUUGUCGCGUCUGCUGUGAAAUCCUCUGGCUUAACUGGGGGCGUGCAGUGGGUACGGGCAGACUGGAGUGCGGUAGGGGGGACUGGAAUUCCUGGUGUAGCGGUGGAAUGCGCAGAUAUCAGGAGGAACACUGGUAGAGAAGGCGGGUCUCUGUGCCGUUACUGACGCUGAGGAGCGAAAGCAUGGG
rnacentral:rRNA from 1 species